rnacentral:rRNA from 1 species
AGAAUCAACGCUGGCGGCGUGCCUAACACAUGCAAGUCGAGCGAGAAAGUGGAGCAAUCCAUGAGUAAAGCGGCGCACGGGUGAGUAACACGUGACUAACCUACCCUCGAGUGGGGAAUAAACUUCGGGAAACCGAGGCUAAUACCGCAUAACACCCACGGGUCAAAGGAGCAAUCCCGCUUGAGGAGGGGGUCGCGGCCGAUUAGUUAGUUGGCGGGGUAACGGCCCACCAAGACGAUGAUCGGUA